AAUAGUAGCUUUCACAAUAUAUUCAUCUAACACUAGCUAAUGUGACACUCUUCUGAAAGUUAUGUAAUCCUAUAAUGUGGAGAUUAUGAACAGUUUGACAAAUUUCUAACUAGAAGUAACUGGUGUUUAUCCAGAUCAUUGGAAAAGCAGUUAUCUAUCAUUUGUAUAAGUGUUAGACUUCACCUAUGACUUCUACUUAACCUCUGAUGUCAAGGAAGCAGAUAUGAAUUCUUCACAGAGCCUUAGAAGUUGAAGGAUGUGUCAUUCUAGAUGUUUCCUAGGAUUUCAGUCCUCCUCACAGACUUCACCCUAGGACUGCAAUCAAUCCAUCACCUUUGCUAUUUUUGUUACAUUGUUGCUGUUGAAUUUGGAAAAGUGGACAUGAAUACAUCUUAUAAAGGUAUGUAUCAUCAAAAAAACAAACACUCAUCAAUUCUAAUUCUAGUGCUGUCAUUCAUUUGUUAUCUGUCUUUAGGAAGUCACUUAAGUCAAAAUCUUUAAAAAUAUUGAGCACUCAUGGUGCCUAUAUAUAAAGUGAAACUCUAGCCUCUAUGUUUCUAAAACUAGGCACACAAAUUAAUGAAUGCUUUUGAGAAUUAUGGCCUUAACUUUUUUGUUCCUCAGUUUUUCAAUCUAUAAAAUGUACCUACCCUAUGAGGCUAUUGUCAGGAUUAGUU
rnacentral:lncRNA from 1 species